rnacentral:lncRNA from 1 species
UGUCGCAGUGAAAUUUGCUGUUGUGUCAUAUAUCAUAUUGUAUCCAGCAGAGUUCAUACGAAAGUAUGUUAAUUUUUUGGACGCCCCACAGUAUGAGUCCCAUGCAUUUCUUUUCGUACUCUCUCUGCUGAAUUUUAUUUUUUCAUAUUUAUGGGUGGUUUUCAUGGUUCAACAGUUUCUAUUUAACUUUGUCAUGCCACGACUUCAUAACUGGAGGGGACCUCGUCGCCCAUAUGAGAAGUUGGGACGGGACCUCAUGGCCAAGCC